UACGGGGGGAGCAAGCGUUGUUCGGAUUUACUGGGCGUAAAGGGCGCGUAGGCGGCUUUAUAAGUCGGGGGGUGAAAGCCUGUGGCUCAACCACAGAAUUGCCUUCGAUACUGUUAGGCUUGAGACCGGAAGAGGUAAGUGGAACUGCGAGUGUAGAGGUGAAAUUCGUAGAUAUUCGCAAGAACACCAGUGGCGAAGGCGGCUUACUGGUCCGGUUCUGACGCUGAGGCGCGAAAGCGUGGGGAGCAAACAGG
rnacentral:rRNA from 1 species